GAUGAACGCUGGCGGCGUGCCUAAUACAUGCAAGUCGAGCGAACAGACGAGGAGCUUGCUCCUCUGACGUUAGCGGCGGACGGGUGAGUAACACGUGGAUAACCUACCUAUAAGACUGGGAUAACUUCGGGAAACCGGAGCUAAUACCGGAUAAUAUAUUGAACCGCAUGGUUCAAUAGUGAAAGACGGUUUUGCUGUAACUUAUAGAUGGAUCCGCGCCGCAUUAGCUAGUUGGUAAGGUAUCGGCUUACCAAGGCAACGAUGCGUAGCCGACCUGAGAGGGUGAUCGGCCACACGGGAACUGAGACACGGUCCAGACUCCUACGGGAGGCAGCAGUAGGGAAUCUUCCGCAAUGGGCGAAAGCCUGACGGAGCAACGCCGCGUGAGUGAUGAAGGUCUUCGGAUCGUAAAACUCUGUUAUUAGGGAAGAACAAAUGUGUAAGUAACUAUGCACGUCUUGACGGUACCUAAUCAGAAAGCCACGGCUAACUACGUG
rnacentral:rRNA from 1 species